rnacentral:tRNA from 3 species
CAAAGUGUAGCUUAACCCUAAAGCAUCUGGCCUACACCCAGAAGAUUUCAUAAUACAUGACCACUUUGA